CUCAUCUUAAAUCAUGAUAUUUUAUCAAAAUAAUGAUAUUCUACUUGUCUUGUUUAAAAAUUGGCCAAAACGUAACCGUUAGUUCAAACAAGAGUCUGGAAAAAAAAACUAAAAAUGUAUUCUACCUAUGUCCAUGCAACCAAAGAAUACACAUUUACGUUGCUUUAUUCUAUGAAAAUGUUUUUUAAAAUUGCCAGAAUUAAGCCACUUGCAUCAAAUUCUGCUAAAAAAUAUAAAUUCUGUGCUGCUCUUUGCAGCCAUGAAGCUAUUAGUGACUUAAAUGUAAAUACAUGACAAAAACUCAACAAAAUCUCAGCUUACCAAAAUAAUGUUGUUCUAUUUGUCUUGUUUAAAAAUUGGCCAAAACUAGACUGUCAGUUUGAACCAAAUUCGAGUUCUGUAUAUUUUGCUUGAAAUAUGAAGCCUUUAGAAGUUCAGCUGUAACCAAGAGUCACUUAUGAAAAUUCAGGGAUAUUUAUAUAUUUUUUUGCUGAACUGCAGGCUGUGUUUAAGUGAGCAGACAGGAGACAAGUAUUGAAAAAAUAGAAUAUUUAAGAGACAAAUAUCUACAGUAUGUAGAGUCAUAGUGUGUUUUCAAACAUUGGUAACACGUGUGGACAUUUUGAAAAAUGUAGUAGACGUUUGAUUUGUGUAUGCAAAUAAUUAAUGCAAGAAAUUCAACCUUUGUAUUUUCUUCUUCAUUCUGCUUCCAUAAAGAUGCAAUGAAAAAUGAACCUACUGUGUGUAAAAAUGCAACAAAAACAUCCAGUAAUUGCUCUGGGUCCAGGGGGUUAAUUGAUUAAUUAGUAACAUCCAUAAUACUAAUUAAAAGCCACAAUAAUAGAAUAAAGAGGAGGAGCAACUUGUCUGUUUUUGCUGAUAUUUAGUUCCAGAAUCAGCCUGAGUAUGUUGAGUUUUUCUCUAGAAAUGUGUCGUUUUUGCAGCUUUACGUGUGUUGGGCUCGGCACCCGGAGAUAAACAGAAGGCUGCUGGGUGUGGAGCAGAUAAUAAGGAGUGUGUGAUGCUCAGCCUUUGUCCUGGUGAAGGCCGUCGAUGGCCUGCAGGGACGACGUCUGAGAAAAGCACAUUCUCUGAAAAGAAGAACAUUUCCUGAGGCUGUUUGACUCCUGAACGACAUUCACACGUUCUGCUCCUCUCUCAUCCGUGCACCUUGGCGUGAUCUCUUACCACACGCAGCAGCCGUCUCUGCUCCUUGAAGGUGGCGCAGCAGCCCAGCACGCCUGUUACCAUGACGAUGGCUCCAGCCAGGACCAGUAUGUAGGCGGAGGCAGCGUACGUCUUGGAGGAGAGCAGGCUGAUGUAGUCGCUCUUCUCCACCAACGUCCAAACGCCCACCGCCAUCACGACGCCCCCUGCCAGCUGGGAGAGGAGACGGCAUGUUCCUUUGCUGUACGCUGCAGGAUGUGUCGGAAUCCCUUCGAACACGAUGCUUGUUGCAUCUCCAGCUGCUGUUAAAACUCAAUGAUCCUCAGGAAUCAGUGAACGUACAACAGAACUGCUGGAUUCAAACUCUGGCGACUCCCAGUGGCAGAAAGGGGUCAUAACUGGAGCAUUUUAAAUCCUGCAGAGCUCUGACACAGAAUUCAUCCAUUCAUAAGACCAGCAGGUGUAUUUCUAGAUGAGCAUGAAUUAAUGAAAUGCAUUUUAUGCCGUUUAUUAGCUGGAUUAUCACACUUUUCAUGCAAAACUGUGAGCAUCUGUUGAUCUAUUUUCUGCAUUUUUUUAUGCAGUAUCAGUCCAAGUUAUAAUUUGCAGCUAAAACUCGCUGCUGCCACAAAAAGUGAUUUUUAAAAAUGUUGAAAUAUGUUAGAUUUUGGUAUAAAUGAAUGCUAAAAGUAAAGGCUGCAUUUAACAAAAGCUGAUGAUCUGUGUUUUCUGUUUGGUUAGCAGUUUCUCUCUCAUUUUCUCUCACAAAAACACAAUUAUAUCCAAUUAUUAAACGAAAAAUGUCGCUCGAAGAGCUUUUUAAAAUGGCAGGCUGUUGAUGCCUUUUCAAUCAGGCUGUCUUCUGAAAAUAAACAUUUUAUU